UAGGGAAUUUUCGUCAAUGGGCGCAAGCCUGAACGAGCAAUGCCGCGUGAACGAGGAAGGUCUUCGGAUCGUAAAGUUCUGUUGAAGGGGAAAAAGAGCGGAGAGAGGAAAUGGUCUCCGAUUGAUAUUACCCUUCGAGGAAGUCACGGCUAACUACGUGCCAGCAGCGCGGUAAUCUCGAUCU
rnacentral:rRNA from 1 species